ACCCGGUUACCCUUACCGGGGGAGAAAGCCCUUUGUGACCUUCGGGCCUUGCGCUAUCAGAUGAGCCUAGGUCGGAUUAGCUAGUUGGUGAGGUAAUGGCUCACCAAGGCUACGAUCCGUAACUGGUCUGAGAGGAUGAUCAGUCACACUGGAACUGAGACACGGUCCAGACUCCUACGGGAGGCAGCAGUGGGGAAUAUUGGACAAUGGGCGAAAGCCUGAUCCAGCCAUGCCGCGUGUGUGAAGAAGGUCUUCGGAUUGUAAAGCACUUUAAGUUGGGAGGAAGGGCAUUAACCUAAUACGUUAGUGUUUUGACGUUACCGACAGAAUAAGCACCGGCUAACUCUGUGCCAGCAGCCGCGGUAAUACAGAGGGUGCAAGCGUUAAUCGGAAUUACUGGGCGUAAAGCGCGCGUAGGUGGUUUGUUUAAGUUGAAUGUGAAAUCCCCGGGCUCAACCUGGGAACUGCAUCCAAAAACUGGCAAGCUAGAGUAUGGUAGAGGGUAGUGGAAUUUCCCUG
rnacentral:rRNA from 1 species